rnacentral:lncRNA from 1 species
CUGCACUUCAGCCUGGGUGACAGAGCAAGACCCUGUCUUAAAUAAAUAAAUAAGUCUCUUUGUUGAAUUGAUUCAUAGUAUUCUAUUUUUUGUUCUCUGAAAUGAUAGGUUUAUUACAGAGGUCAGCUGGGAAGAGCUACCACUUUAAGUGUAACUCCUGAAAUGGAAAGAGUGAAGAAGAAUCAAGAAAAUAUUAGCUCGGUAAAAUAUACCCAGGACCAUAAACAGAUGAAAGGUAGACCAAGUCUGAUUUUAGAUACACCUGCUAUGAGACAUGUUAAAGAAGCACAAAAUCAUAUUUCAAUGGUAGGGUCCAACCAGAUCAUUCUUAAAACAUGCUAAGGAAUGGGCGGAUCCAGUGCACGGAUGGCAUUACUUCACUAUUAAUCCGAUAACUAACAAAGCAUGGAAAUGUGGUUGGCUUGUCUUUUGAGGGAGGGGCAUUUCUAAUCACACUGAAAUGCAGUGGAAACAUUUAGUCUAAUAAAAUGAUUUUUCUCAGUGA